CUACUGUUCUCUAUCUAUACUGUGUCCCUUGGUAAACUCAUUAGCUCCUUUGACUUCCAAUAUCAUUUCUAUGCAGAUGACAUGCAAACCUGUCCUCUCCUGAUCUCUCCCUGUCCCUCUUGACUAGUGUCUCUAACUGCCUCUCUGCUAUUUCUAGCUGGAUGGCUGCCCACUUCCUUAAACUAAACUUGACCAAAACUGAAAUUCUGAUCUUUCCUCCCUCAAGCGUUGUUACUCCUGUGUCUGUCUCCCUCCAAGUCAACGGUGGUACCAUCAGCUCCACCAUGCAGGCUCGCUGCCUAGGUGUUCUCUUUGACUCUGAUCUCUCCUUCAAGCCUCAUGUUCAGUCUAUCGCCAAAUCCUGUCAUUUCCAUCUCAAAAACAUUGCUUGCAUCCGCCCCUACUUAACGCCAGAUGUGACUAAGGUGUCGGUCCAUUCCACUGUCCUUUCUCGCCUUGACUACUGUAAUCCGCUUCUCAGUGGUCUUACGUGCUCCCAACUUGCGCAGUUACAGUCCAUAAUGAAUGCAGGGGCGAGGCUCAUCUUCCUGUCCGCCUGCACCGCCUACGCCUCACCCUUCUGUCAGUUCUUACAUUGGCUUCCGAUAAGAUAUAGAGCUAAAUUUAAAAUUAUGAUUCUUGCUUUCAAAUCUCUACAUAAUGCUGCUCCCACCUAG